CGGCAUGCCUAACACAUGCAAGUCGAACGAGACCUUCGGGUCUAGUGGCGCACGGGUGCGUAACACGUGGGAAUUUGCCUCGGGGUAUGGAAUAACUCAGGGAAACUUGAGCUAAUACCAUAUAAUGUCUUCGGACCAAAGAUUUAUCGCCCUGAGAUAAGCCCGCGUAGGAUUAGCUAGUUGGUGAGGUAAAGGCUCACCAAGGCGACGANCCUUAGCUGGUCUGAGAGGAUGAUCAGCCACACUGGGACUGAGACACGGCCCAGACUCCUACGGGAGGCAGCAGUGGGGGAAUAUUGGACAAUGGGCGAAAGCCUGAUCCAGCAAUGCCGCGUGAGUGAUGAAGGCCUUCGGGUUGUAAAGCUCUUUUACUCGGGACGAUAAUGACGGUACCGAGAGAAUAAGCCCCGGCUAACUCCGUG
rnacentral:rRNA from 1 species